UUGGUUUUUGCUUGGAGUUUCUAACAUGCAGAUUCCAGCCUUUCCACAUCCUGAACAAAGCGUCGGACUCCUUCCCGUCUUCUCUGCAGAUCUUCUGUUUCUUUUGUGAGUUCCUUCAGCUCCUGGGUGAGUCUGUGAUGCAGGAUGUUGAGCUCUUUGGCGUCAUUCGACUGCUCUCUCAGCUGGGACAGCUCUGCCUGCAGCUCUUUCUUGAGUUCCUCCAAACGGUAUAAUUCUUCCACCAUUGCGGGGAACUCUUCUCUCAUUUGGUCUCACUCCAGGAUUUCUGUCUACAGCUUCUGAAGCUCCGUUUUCAGAGCUGUGGUCUCCUCUUCCAGAGCGUGGACAUGGUUGAACUCCAGUUUGUAGUCCAUUUCCAGGACUGCUUGGUGGGCGACCUUUCUCUGCAGCUCACCUUUCAGAACUGCAGAUUUCUUUUCCUUGGUUUCCUCUCCUGUUUCACUCUUUCAUGCUCUAAUUUCAGCUCUUCAGGGACCCACAGUUCAGACUUUAGAGUGGCCAUUUCCUCUUUGUUUUCACUAAUGUUUUCAGAGAAGUCAGCAAUUUUCUAUCUUUCUGCGUCACAUUUCUGCUGGACCUCCAUCUGCUGUUGAACUUGUGUGUUCAGGGUCUGCAGAGAUUUGAGCAGCGAUCUGAACUCAAAUGUAUUGAAUUCAUUGAUGAUCUGCGUGAAAGUGCUUUUCUCUUCUGUGCAGAGUCAUCCGGGUUCAAGACAUUAAGAUGCAGGAGAGAAAAUCUUUUUCUCUGCUUUAUUUUUUGACAUGUGAACAGCGGUGCAAGUUCACUGUGUUUCUAUGGCGACGACAGCAGGAUGAAAACCGGCACCAAGGACAGAACUGUUGCUGCACCUGCUGGGUGCUGAAAGGAAAAUAUUCUCCAGAAGAAAACUUCUCUUGGUAGUGUUUUAAAGUCUGUGCUGCGUUCAGGGACAGCAGUUGGCAAGAAUCUGCGUUUAUUGUCAGGAAAAUGAUAAUUUUCUUCCAUUUAGUGUUUGGCUUACUGGAAUGCACCCUAACAGUGAAAUCACACGUGCAACAUCUCAAACUAUGCUCUCAGUGAUGGAAGCAGCCCUUCAGCACGAUGCUUCCACCCCCAUUAGAUCAAGUAAUUCCAUUCUGGUCUCAUCUGACCACAUGUCAUUCUCCCAGUCCUCCUCUGGAUCAUCCAGAUGGUCUUUGAAGAACUUCAGGCAGGUCUGGACAUGUGCCAUCGUAAGCAGGGGGAUCUAUGGAGCUCUGAUGAUGACGCUGUGUGUUACCAUAGUAACCUUUGUUUCUGUGGUCCCAGCUCUCUUCAGGUCAUUGACCGGUCUCCCAGCAUUUCCUCACCGCUCUCCAGACUACUUGUUCCAUGAGGUGAGAUAUCCUGUGGAGCUGCAGGUGGAGGGAGAUCACCACCAGUAAGAAGGUGGAGCGUCAGCUGGCUGGAGGCGUCUUGACGAGGAGAUCCAGAAGCGAAGCACGAGUGACCAGAGGACUGCGACCAGGAGCAAGGAUAGGCCAGAGUAAGCACCAUGGGAGGAACAACGAACUGGCAUUGACUAAAGAUCCGCAGGCUCCUUAAAAAGGCUGCAGCAGUGAUGAGGUGAGUGAGAACAGCUGGUCGCGUCCAAGGCAGAGAAAGUGGGGGAGGGGAGAGUAACUGACAGGCCACCAUGACACCUCGUUUUAAAAUGUUGAUAUUUAUUACAAAAAGCACAACGUGUGAUUUUUUUUCCCCAUACAGUAAAGUACCUAAAAAGGACUUGAUGAUCAUAAGAAUUCUUGUUUCUAAAUAGAAUCCACCUGAAUGUAAAUAAAAUGCUCAUUUUCCUCUCCACUUGUUACACAUUUGCUGCAUUUUUUUUAUCAGUCUCUGUGGACAGAUCUGAUUGUAAAAAAUUUUAGAUAAAACGUGGGAAAUUUUCCUGGAAGACAUGUAAGAUGCAAUGAAAUCAGAUUUUAAAUAAGCUGAGAUACGAGGAGACAAGACGAGACGAGAUGAGAUCAUCUUUAUUGAUCCAAUCAUGAUGGUGCAA